rnacentral:rRNA from 1 species
GGUCCUAUGGAUUGUAAACUGCUUUUAUACGAGAAGAAACACUGCUUCGUGAAGCAGCUUGACGGUAUCGUAAGAAUAAGGAUCGGCUAACUCCGUGCCAGCAGCCGCGGUAAUACGGAGGAUCCAAGCGUUAUCCGGAAUCAUUGGGUUUAAAGGGUCCGUAGGCGGUUUAAUAAGUCAGUGGUGAAAGCCCAUCGCUCAACGGUGGAACGGCCAUUGAUACUGUUAAACUUGAAUUAUUAGGAAGUAACUAGAAUAUGUAGUGUAGCGGUGAAAUGCUUAGAGAUUACAUGGAAUACCAAUUGCGAAGGCAGGUUACUACUAAUGGAUUGACGCUGAUGGACGAAAGCGUGGGUAGCGAACAGGAUUAGAUACCCUGGUAGUCCACGCCGUAAACGAUGGAUACUAGCUGUUGGAAGCAAUUUCAGUGGCUAAGCGAAAGUGAU